GAUGAACGCUAGCGGCAGGCCUAACACAUGCAAGUCGAGGGGUAGAGGAAGCUUGCUUCCUUGAGACCGGCGCACGGGUGCGUAACGCGUAUGCAAUCUACCUUUUACAGAGGGAUAGCCCAGAGAAAUUUGGAUUAAUACCUCAUAGUAUCUUUGCCUGGCAUCGGGUGAUUAUUAAAGUUCCAACGGUAAAAGAUGAGCAUGCGUCCUAUUAGCUAGAUGGUAAGGUAACGGCUUACCAUGGCAACGAUAGGUAGGGGUCCUGAGAGGGAGAUCCCCCACACUGGUACUGAGACACGGACCAGACUCCUACGGGAGGCAGCAGUGAGGAAUAUUGGACAAUGGGCGCAAGCCUGAUCCAGCCAUGCCGCGUGCAGGAAGACGGUCCUAUGGAUUGUAAACUGCUUUUGUACGGGAAGAAACACUCCUACGUGUAGGAGCUUGACGGUACCGUAAGAAUAAGGAUCGGCUAACUCCGUGCCAGCCGCCGCCGCGGUAA
rnacentral:rRNA from 1 species